rnacentral:rRNA from 1 species
GGGGUUUGGGUGAGGCGUGGUCUUCUUGGCUGCGUCGAAUCUGAGUUCCGCAAGGAGGGAGAAGUCGUAACAAGGUGGCCGUAGGGGAACCUGCGGCCGGAUCACCUCCU